GAUGAACGCUGGCGGCGUGCCUAAUACAUGCAAGUCGAGCGAACGGACGAGAAGCUUGCUUCUCUGAUGUUAGCGGCGGACGGGUGAGUAACACGUGGAUAACCUACCUAUAAGACUGGGAUAACUUCGGGAAACCGUAGCUAAUACCGGAUAAUAUUUUGAACCGCAUGGUUCAAAAGUGAAAGACGGUCUUGCUGUCACUUAUAGAUGGAUCCGCGCUGCAUUAGCUAGUUGGUAAGGUAACGGCUUACCAAGGCAACGAUGCAUAGCCGACCUGAGAGGGUGAUCGGCCACACUGGAACUGAGACACGGUCCAGACUCCUACGGGAGGCAGCAGUAGGGAAUCUUCCACAAAGGGCGAAAGCCUGACGGAGCAACGCCGCGUGAGUGAUGAAGGUCUUCGGAUCGUAAAACUCUGUUAUUAGGGAAGAACGUAUGUGUAAGUAACUGUGCACAUCUUGACGGUACCUAAUCAGAAAGCCACGGCUAACUACGUG
rnacentral:rRNA from 1 species